CCUACGGGAGGCAGCAGUGGGGAAUAUUGCACAAUGGGGGAAACCCUGAUCCAGCGACGCCGCGUGAGUGAAGAAGUCUUUCGGUAUGUAAAGCUCUAUCAGCAGGGAAGAAAAUGACGGUACCUGCGUACGAAUCCCCGGCUAACUACGUGCCAGCAGCCGCGGUCAUACGUAGGGGGCAAGCGUUAUCCGGAUUUAUUGGGUGUAAGGGGGGCGUAGACGGCGGUGCAAGUAUGGGGUGAAAGGCCGGGGCUCAACCCCCGGACUGCUCUGGAAACUGUUGGGCUGGAGUGCAGGAGAGGUAAGUGGAAUUCCUGGUGUAGCGGUGAAAUGCGUAGAUAUUAGGAGGAACACCAGUGGCGAAGGCGGCUUACUGGACUGUAACUGACGUUGAGGCACGAAAGCGUGGGGAGCAAACAGGAUUAGAUACCCCGGUAGUC
rnacentral:rRNA from 1 species